GUUCGAUGGUAUCACUGACUCAAUGGACAUGAGUUUGAGCAAACUACAGGAGAUGGUGAAGGACAAGAUAGCCUGGUAUGCUGCAGUCUAUGGAGUUGAAAAGAGUCGGACCUGACUUAGCAACAGAACAACAACAACUCCAGGGGAUCUUCCUCACCCAGGGAUCGAAACUAUGUCUCUUGCAUCUCCUGCAUUCUCAGGCAGAUUCUUUUACCACUACACCACGUGGGAAGCCCAUUUCGUUAUAUGUUUAAGUUUGGUACUGUAACUCUGAUAUAACAUCGCUUUUGGACCCCUGUGUACCCCAGGAAAGGACUUCUGGAACCCUUUGUCCUCUGCUCCUGGCUAAUGAUUUGUGACCCAGUGUGACUACCCCACAUUGUGGAGUAGAGAGGGGAUCUGGGACCGGCACCCUGGAUGGUUUCGAGCAUUUGGAGUAAUCCACCUUACCUACUUUCUGAAAUGGAUGAUAGUGGGGCAUGAAUGGAGACAGAGCCUCUCUAUCCGGGGAGGAAGCACCAUUCUCUCAAUUCUUCCACCUGCGGUUGAGG
ensembl:lncRNA